AGCGGCGGAUGGGUGAGUAACACGUGGGGAACCUGCCCCUAAGUCUGGGAUACCAUUUGGAAACAGGUGCUAAUACCGGAUAAUAAAGCAGAUCGCAUGAUCAGCUUUUGAAAGGCGGCGUAAGCUGUCGCUAAGGGAUGGCCCCGCGGUGCAUUAGCUAGUUGGUAAGGUAACGGCUUACCAAGGCGACGAUGCAUAGCCGAGUUGAGAGACUGAUCGGCCACAUUGGGACUGAGACACGGCCCAAACUCCUACGGGAGGCAGCAGUAGGGAAUCUUCCACAAUGGACGCAAGUCUGAUGGAGCAACGCCGCGUGAGUGAAGAAGGUUUUCGGAUCGUAAAGCUCUGUUGUUGGUGAAGAAGGAUAGAGGUAGUAACUGGCCUUUAUUUGACGGUAAUCAACCAGAAAGUCACGGCUAACUACGUGCCAGCAGCCGCGGUAAUACGUAGGUGGCAAGCGUUGUCCGGAUUUAUUGGGCGUAAAGCGAGCGCAGGCGGAAAAAUAAGUCUAAUGUGAAAGCCCUCGGCUUAACCGAGGAACUGCAUCGGAAACUGUUUUUCUUGAGUGCAGAAGAGGAGAGUGGAACUCCAUGUGUAGCGGUGGAAUGCGUAGAUAUAUGGAAGAACACCAGUGGCGAAAGGCGGCUCUCUGGUCUGCAACUGACGCUGAGGCUCGAAAGCAUGGGUAGCGAACAGGAUUAGAUACCCUGGUAGUCCAUACCGUAACGAUGAGUGCUAAGUGU
rnacentral:rRNA from 1 species